ACCAAGAACUCCAACUCCCUCUUGUUCUCAAGCUCUGGGCUCCCACAGAACACCAGGAUCCUCGUGCCUUUCCUGAGGAACAUCAAAAAAGUUUUUCUGCAUAGUGGAAGAGCUUUAGCCAGAGAAAAAACAGAUCACACACCACACACCCUGCUCCAGCUCCUGCUCCUGUCCCAGCAUCACAGCUGUUGGGCCUCUCCUAUGGAGGAUAGGACAUCCUCACACUGUGUCCUGGAAAGCAGUCCCAUUCAUUCCUGAACAGAAGAGCUACAAAUGCUACAUUCCCCACUAUUCACAGAGAAGUGGCUGUUGCUCAAGCUGCCAGGAUACUGUCAGUGACCAAAUUUCUCAGCUGAGAAUAUUUCUGUUAUUCAGAAACAGGAAGUCUUGUGAUUGAGUGCCUGUGAGAGCCAUUUUGUCCAGCACAAAGUAGCUCUUUGGAGCUAAGCUGUGCCACUGCAUCCAGCA